UACGUAGGUCCCGAGCGUUGUCCGGAUUUAUUGGGCGUAAAGCGAGCGCAGGUGGUUUAUUAAGUCUGGUGUGAAAGGCAGUGGCUCAACCAUUGUAUGCAUUGGAAACUGGUAGACUUGAGUGCAGGAGAGGAGAGUGGAAUUCCAUGUGUAGCGGUGAAAUGCGUAGAUAUAUGGAGGAACACCGGUAGCGAAAGCGGCUCUCUGGCCUGUAACUGACACUGAGGCUCGAAAGCGUGGGGAGCAAACAGG
rnacentral:rRNA from 1 species